CGGGCAGAAGUAUGUGGGGCUGGGAAUGGGGGUAUCAUGGGAAACCACAAAGCCUUCCUUUUGUGUAUCCCUGGGAAGGCACCAAAGCAUGCAAACUUUUCCACAUUUCCAGGAUCUUGCGUCUGAGCCCUGGAGGUCCUGCGUGCUGACUGUGAAGAGGCAGGAAGGGCAUGGCCUGUGGGGUCCUCACCCUUUGGUCGUCAAGCAACUCUUCAGUGAGUUCAGGGCAGGACACAGGGGUUGGGGCGCCGCCUCACUGAGCCGCAGAGGAAAAGUUUACAAAUGGGAAAUCCACAACAUUGGUCAAGAAGAAAAGGCACCAUGAAUGGGAAGACCGAAGUGCAGACAACCAGCUGGAACAAGGGUGAAAAUAUAGGAGAUUACGAUCCAUUCCUGGGUGGACGGCCAGCGUUCCAUCUUCACUAACACGAUAUAGUUGAAGAGCAUCAGGUAUCCGAUAUACGCCAGCUGUAAGGAGACACAAUACAGUGCUCUGGCUGUUCAGGCCCAGGAGCCCCAGCAUCAGCCAAGGCCACUGCACAGCAGCACAGAGCAGGGUCAGCAAGCAGGACACAGACUUUAUGACAAAAGGAACUUGAAGGUGCUAAACUAACAAAAGAAUUAGAAAAGACAGUAAUACUUGAAGGAUUAUAAUAUGCAAUCUUCCUUUUGACCUGUACAUGUAUCUCUGGGGCUCUGGUGCUUCGUUUAAAUCUAUGUGUCAUGAUGCAUCAUUUCGCCUUGCAGUUACCCAUUUUUGUGUGUUUUCUUGGCUAAAAAGGGAGCCUUGGCUGUCAGUGGCGGCUCUUGCUCAGGCGUGGACCUUAGGUUCUUAAACUAGGGCAGCACAGUGGAUUUUUGCCUCACGAAUGCCAGGCAGAAUAAGUGUCUGUGAGAAGCAAAGGAAGAGGAAGACACAUGUAACACCUGUAAAUUGGUCAAACCAACAUAAAAAUAGCCCAGGCUUAAAGUGCUUCGCUUGUCAGUGCCCUGGGAGGGUCUUACCUGUUUUCAUUUCACCACUUUCCUGUCCUAAUCAAGUUAAGAUAAGAUAUUCCUUCCUGGUGUCUGCUUCAUUGAAACAACACAAGAAAAGACAACACAGUUUACAGAAAGGAAAGGGUCCGUGUGGCCUUUUGUGGACGGGUGUGGGGUUUAAUCCCCAAGAGGCUCUGGCUCGUGGGGUUGAAUCCUGAUGUGACUGGCUGAAUUGCUGGAUGUCUGGGAAGAACUCCCUAGGGUUUGGUGACUGCUCCUGGAAGAUUCAGUUGUGUCAAGGUGAGUGAAGUGCAGGGAAACUGGUGGCUCUUGCAUAAGGGGCUGAGGAGCCUUGAGAGAAGACUCACUCACCUUAAGGGAAAUGGCAGACUAGCUGGGCCUUCCUUACACAAUGCCUCAAGUCAAGUGAGGUACUCACUGGCCUUAGGGGCCUCAGGGGCUGUGAGCAGGAACCAAGAGGGAGUUUAUUAACUAAAAUCUGCUGCACUCUUCAGAGUGGUGUAGCAAAGAAUAGACACAGUGUGGGUGAAAGGAUUGAGGCCUUGAGGGGUCUGGAGGUACUGCAUGACUUUGUAGCUGGGAAGGCAGCUUAGAAGGUGGAGGAAGCUGCAGCCUUGCUGGGGGAUAUGCUGCUUUCUCUACUAAUUCUCUUAUGUUUUGGGACAGGGUCUCACUCUCGUCACCCAGGCUGGAGUGCAGUGGCAUUGUGAUCUCGGCUCAUUGUAGCAUUGACUUCCUGGGCUCAGAUGGAUACCUGAAAUAGGCUCUCAAAACAAGCAGGGUCUAGGAGCCAGUUGGACCCCUGCCUCCUUUCUUCUUGGACCAGAAGAGGACCCAAUCUGCUCCUAGAGAAACUUGCUACGAUGCAGAAGUGAGGUUAUAUGGAAAUGAAGUGUGUCCUACCUUUCAGAAACUUGGGAGAGUAGGAGAGACCAUUUUUGAAAAUCUGGUGAGAAAUACUCUUACAGAGAAAAACACAGCCCAAAGCACAUGGGACCUUCAAUCUGAAAUUGAAUUGUACUGUUAAGCAUGUCUGGUGAUUCAAAAGACUGGCAUACCUUAUUUCCAGUCACUUCCUCGAGGCCUGGGCUUUGUCAAUAUGUGAAGAUGAAUUUUGGAGAAUCAUGUAAACACAAUUGAACAGAUCUGGGGGAUCCAGUCUGAUGGGUUUGCUGAGGCCAAUCCAGUCAGCCACGCAGAAGUGUGCUGGACACACAGGCCCCACCACCCCCCGCCAAAGAGGCAGCCUCCCAACAAGCUGCCAAUGACAUAAGCAAAGCAGCGUGUCUCAAGUGUCUCCAAUCAUAAGAUUCGCCUGGGAAGCUGGUUAAACUAACACAGCCUCUUAGGCUCCUUCCUGAAGACUGGAUUCCAUGGGUCUAUGAUGGGGCUAGAAAUUUGCAUUUCUAACAAAACUCCCUUGUCAUCAUGGACGUUUUAGAGAUAUUGAUACUAUUAUUUCUACUGAUUUCUGCUCUCGGGAGUCUGUAAACUUUUUCUGCAAAUGGCCAACUGGUUAACUUUUAAGGCUUUGUAGAACCGAUAGUCUCUCUCUGUCUCUCACUACUCAUCAACUUGAUGUGGUAGCACAAAAGCAGUCAGUCAGCCUAUUGCUAAUGGUAAAUGAGAUUUAGCCUAAAGCUGCCUCCUUAAGUUCGGCCUGAAGUUUUCUCUGUACAUUGUGAACUAUAACAAAUGAAGGUGUAACAAGACCAAUCACCGAGUUUCGGUCAAUCAAAUGUAGCCAACUGCUCAAACUGUGUUCAAAUAAGGCAAACGCUGAGCUGUAACCAAUCCAGCUGUUUCUGUACCUCACUUCCGUUUUCUGUAUGCCACUUCCCUUUUUCUGUCCAUAAAUCUUCCACCACGUGGCCCUGCCAGAGUCUCUGAGCCUACUCUGGCUUGGAAGACUGCCCAAUUCACGAAUCGUUCAUUUGCUCAAUUAAACUCCUUUAAAUUUA
rnacentral:lncRNA from 1 species